rnacentral:antisense_RNA from 1 species
AUCUCCUCCGGAUCACUCACCGAGCCCGUGGACAUCCCGUUGUCCCCCUUGCCCACACGCGUCCUCUUUCCUCCCCCCUGGCCAGUCUCGCUGUCUCCGCCUUCCGCUCCCUGGCGGAGGCGGAGGCCAGAGAGCGCUCCAAGGAAGACUAAAAACCCAGGCCGGGAAGCGCGGGGUGAGAAAGCGAGGUGGGUGGCGAGAGCGUGAGCGCCCCUCUGCUGACCCCGGGGAGCGUGGACUACGAGUUGGCGCCCAAGUCCAGAAUCCGCGCGCACCGCGGAAAAUAUUUGCAAUACCUGCCACAUCCAAGGUUCAGCUGAGGCCAAUGUAAAGCCAGUAUUAUAGGACACUUCUCAGACUGAGAGCCCAAUGUCGUUGGAAACCACUGGGCCACAGGAAAGGCAGGAUCAUGGAAUUCUAAAAUUGGAAGAAAUAUGUUUCUAGUCAUCUAGUAUAGCUUCCAAUCCAUAGGAUGAAUCCUCAUGGCUAAUGAAAGCCUGGAAGAACAUUAGAACCACCAUGAGGAGACUUCAAAUCAUCCCAACACCAGAGAACACUAAAUGACAGUGGACAGGAAGACAGUGUACCUUUUGCUC